GCUCUAACUCUCCUUCUCCAAUUGUAAAACACUCUGUCUCCCCAAAACUUAUGGUAGUUACAGUAGUUACAGGUUUCAUCUUUCAAAUUCAUGAUUUCAAGAACCAAAUCUUUUAAUUUCUUCUCGUUUCAGUUCAAAAUCAUGCCACCUUACAUCCAUCUGCUUAUUCAACUCCUCCCAAAAUGCCACCCUUUCAUUCUCCACCCGCUUCACCAUCACCCCACCCCACUCCCUCCCCACUGCCUCCCCGGCGACGGUAUCGCAUUUGGGGGAGAGAUACUAUCACAUCCUCAUUUAAUCUCAACGAAACCCUAACCAAUGGAACCUACAAAUUAACCACUAUUAUGAAUCCUUGUUAAAUCAAUUUUUCGAUGAAUUCUUCCUUCGCACUUCAAUUGGCCUCCAGAUUUGUCUUCCUCGCCCCAAAUUUCUGAAGAAUCUCUUUUGGAUGUUGGUUUUCAAUUGCAUAAAGAGGUGAUUCAGGUGGAAUCGUCUACCUCUGAUGAGCGGCAAACAAAAGCGUAGGUCGAGCUUAACCCAAAUAUAGAGCGAAGGUGUUCUAAUGUUCUGCCCACAGUUUUCUCGGCUAAAGAUUGGUUGAUAAAGAGAAAUUCCAGGUACGUAUGUGAGGAGGGAAUGUUCCCUAAAAGAACGAGAACUUUUAUGCGGGCGGCUCAUUGAUCGGCUUAUACGACCAUUUUUCCCUGCUGGAUUUUAUCAUGAGGGUCAGGUGAUGUCUAGUGUGCUUUCUUCAAAUGAGAAACAAGUUCCAGAUGUAAUGUGUUCUGCACUUGCUAUGUUUAAGUAUUUUGCUAUUACUUAAGUUUCCUCAACUUAAUUUGAAGGUUACGUUCAUAUCAAUUUAUGAUAUAUGAACAGGUGAAGGUGCCCUUUACUAGGGCUGUUAACGAGCCGAGUCAAGCCGAGCAAGGCCUAGCUCGAGCUCGGCUCGGCUCGAGCUCGAAUUAUAAAUCGAGCUGAGGUUUAGGGCUCGAGCUCGACUCGAUUAUAAAUUCGAGCCGGCUCGAUUUAGCUCGAUCUAAUCAAGAACAGUUAAGUUAACAAGUAUAUAAGCACUCAUACAUGAUUUGAUUGCAACGUAAUUAAGCCAAAGACUUAAAUAUGUAACUUUUUUUGGCCAAAGAAUAAAAUAUGUAAGUAUAGCUUAUUAUUCUUUUGUUGGUUUCACCUUGAUUUUUAUAGGGGAGGUGUUCCCUCAGUGUUUGUGUUCUCUGCGAUGUGAGACAAAAGUGAUUGUAGGAUAAUCAAAGUUUAUGUAUUAGAAUCAUAUUAUUAGUUAUUUAUUGAUACUGAUAGUGUAUGUUUCAGAAUCAUAUUAUUAGUUCUUAUCAGUUCUUUAUUUGAUCUCAGUUACAUCAUCUGCAAAACACAUACACAUAGUUGGAUAGUCAAAGUGUACACAUCAGAAUCAUAUAAGAAUUCACUAGAUUCGUAAUUUUAAUGAUCUGCAACAAUGUUACUUACAAAAAUGGCGUCAACUAGUGAAUCCAUCACGGAACCACCAUAAAAAGGAUGCUGUUGUCAUGCAAAGGGAAGUCGACUAGAAGGGUGAUAGCAAAACUUAGAUAUGUGGAGCUCUAUCAUUCAGCUAACAUUGUAUCGAGGGAAUGAGAGAAGGUUGUGUUGUUACAACUUGCAAGUGCGGCUAGGAGUGACAGUUUGAGACAAAAGUAUUGUUGCAAGUGCUCCUAGGAGUAAUGCAAGUUAUGUUGGAGUUGCUGCACAUUUGUAUAUAUCUUUUGAUUAGAACUUAGAAGUUUAUGUAUCUAGUAUUUAAAUUUAAAACUUAUGCAUGGGUUUUGGUUUUUUGGGUUUUUGAUGUUA